rnacentral:tRNA from 1 species
GCGGGUAUAGUAUAAUGGUUAUUACUUUAGCCUUCCAAGCUAAUAAUGCGGGUUCGAUUCCCGCUACCCGCU